GUUGAAAGUGUUGGGGGCCAGGUGAAAUGUUGGAGGAGAACAGGAUGGAGACAAAAGGUGAGAAGAAGCUGAAGGCGAUGGUGUCCCAGUGCUGGAGGUGGUCGGGGAAGUGCCUGUGCUGCCCCCUGAAAAAUAAAAGAAUUAUAUUUGCGUCUGAGGAUGAAACUUACACAAAAGUGUGCAUGGCCAACAAGGACUUUUCAAGGAAUCCUUUUAAUAUAAAGGAGUUUGGGAAGGGGACAGCUGAGAAGGAGGAGGAAGAACAUCUCCCACUUCUUGUUUUUGGACCACUGCGUGGCCUCGGCGACAGGGCCGGCCGGGGAAGGUCAGAGAUUCGUUUUCUGCAAGUGGCAUUCUGCGCACAUCUUCCUCCUCUUCCACCCUAAACACUAUGAGCUUCGGUGAAAGCAGCGCUGUGGCGCAAGUGGAGAAACUUGACUCCAGCUGUAAAGAGGUUUGUGUUUUAUGGGAUAUGUAUCUGGUCUCCUCUCUUUGAAGGUCCGUUCUUGCUCUCCCAGAUCUGGUGUUUAUGGGGUCCCCGAAGAGACCCCCUGUUCGGCACACUGUGCCGUCCUGUUGUGGGUUCGCUCUGUCAGGCACUGGCCCUCGCCCUGCAGCAGGAAGCGCAAGAUGCAACAGAUGACUUUUUACAACUCUAAAUGGUUUUCUCAGAUGGCCCGAGAUGGAACGAAUGGUACUGAUUUAAGGCCUCAAUUGGUUUCACUACAAAAAAAUAAGAAGGGAGCUAUUAACAAGUCACAGGGAUUUCUGCUGAGCAGAUGAGAGGUACAUGUUAAAAAGUUUGUAGUCAGCUUGCUUUGGCUUUUAGAUGACACUCCCUGGAAAUGAGACUUGGUGGCCUGCUGAGUUUCAGGGGGCGGGAGCCCCCACAUGAACCAGUGUUUGAAGCCGGGGAGCAAGCCUGUCCAAGAGAAGGUCACAUUGCUUCCAUUCACUUUGAAGAAGUUCUCUCGUGCACUUCAAGUACUCAAUACAAACGACAGCUAGUUUUCAAAGUCCACGUAGAGAAGACUGUGGCACUCAUUUUGCAGAGAAGCAAACGAGAUACCGAGAAGUCUUUACCCUCGCAUGAUCUAACAGCUUGUCGGCUGUUAAACAAGAUCGGAAGUGCCAGCCAAGCGCUAAAUAAGCAUAAGGAGGCAGGCUGCCCUCCCUGUGCAUCUCAACACUCGGCUGCCUGAGGCCUCUCAUCACAGAAGACCUAGGGCAGAGUGGAAAACCAGGCGACACUGAUACAAAGGGGGCAGAGCUGCCUCUCAGAGAAAAGCACACCUCCCUUUCUUGUAUAACAUUCUCGCCUCACCCCUCUGCCACAGCCAGGUCCUGAAUGCUCUCAGGGUCUUGAUUGAAGCUUUAUUAAUAGAUGAGUGUGGGCUGUAGCAUUUGGAUUGCCCAGCUGUCUUACUGAUUACGGGACCUUGCAAGUUAGCCUCUCUCUAUACAAAUGGAAUUUCGGGUAUCUACCUUUGUAGGGAUGUUCUGAGAAACAGAUGAAAUAACAUAUAAUACAAAGUGCACAAAGGCAUUAAAUAUGUAUUUCCAUUUCUUUUCCCUUCUGUCAGUGAAGAAGGAGUGAAAGAAGGAGAAAGGAAUCACAGGGCAUUUGAGUUCUGAUGGGGAGACUCUCAGGUGUUGGCUUCUGUCCACGGAGCUGAGCAUGUCUGGCCUCCCCGCACUCUGGUGAGCAUAUGUCACAGCUAGAUGCCCGGAUGUAACAGGCUGGAGGAGCCUCCAUGGUUGCGAAUGACAGAGCACUGGGCCCGUGACCACUAGGGGCCCACUAAGCCUGUACUCCCAAAGGCUAAACCAGCUCUGUUUCCUCUCUGAACGAUCUUUCCCUCUCGCCUCACCCCUGCCUAGAAUGGAAAUUCCAUGCUCUGUGUCUCUAUUCUCAGAUCAAGCAAGCGGAAUUGAACACAAAUAGAUAGAGAUGGACUGCCAGCUCUGGUGUCACUGGUCCAAGAUGGUUCCUUCCUGGUACAAGAGUUGUCAGCCCCUUGGACAUGGAUGGUGCUCACACAAGCUCUUUCGGUUUGGGCCGUACAAACAGCUCCACUGUAUAUAUCAUCAGAACAACAGGACUGCACUUGGCCAUAACUGACCUGGGCUCCUCUUUUUUCUUCUCUACCUGUGUUGCCUCAGUCAACGUCCCCAAGCAUCACCUACUUGGUUAGUUCAUUUUGUCCCUGCCACUAGCAGUGUUCAGGCAGAAGCCCCUCCUGAAAUAGAAUCCUAUCUCCAGACUCUCCAAACAUGUGAACUCCCUUGCUGAUUCUAAAUGAAGACAUCUGAAGGUAAGACCAUACACUUGACUUCAUAAAAAUAGAAUAUCGACCUAUUUAGAAUUAAUGCUCAAGGUGUUGGCAAGGAAACAUCAAUUGGAAGUGUAAACUAAAAAACAACGUUGUGGACAAUCAAAGCUCUAGUAAGAAUGAAGAAAUCAAAUGCGGUCUAAUGGGAAGGGAACUGCCCUGUCAAGAUGGAGACGCACUUCGGAAUCCUCAGCUCACUUCUUUCACCAUUUACCUGCAGAUAUGUGAGCAGACUUUGCUCUGUGCCUCGGUUUCUCUUUGUGUAAAAGGCAGAGGAUAAGGAAUCCCAUGCAUGCUUCUCCAUAGGAGAAAACAACUAUAUAGAAUACCCAUUCAAUAUAUUUUUUUAAACAGAAGGAUUUGGGUUUUUGCAAAACUGCGGCUAAUUCAACUAAGGGCUUUCCUUGCAAUGUUAUCAACAAAUGGGACUUCAUGAAAGAGAAAUAAAAAUGACAGCAAGGACAGGAUGAAAAAAGCAUCUGUAACCUCGUUCAGACAGAAGAGUCUAGCUUCCAGCAACAGCAGCAGAAGCAGCAGUAGAAAACAGUCUUAGGGCCAUGUAUUUGACAUGCCAGAUAUUCAUGUGUCUGAAGCAGUGAGGUUAUAUGGACACUGGGUAAGUCAGUCAUUAUGUGGAGCUUAGGUUUCGUGUCAACACUGCCAAUACUCUCUUCACCAAAAGGAAAUUACUACAAGAUCAGUCUGCCACCGAAGUUCCCUCUAGAAGGUCAUCACUUUCUACUCCUUCUAAGACACGAGACAGUUCAACACAGGUGGCUAUGUCUCUUUUCUUCGUUUCAUGCGUGAUACUGUCCAGAGCUACCGGAAUUCUUAGUUCUUAAGGGAGGAGGGAGUGAAUGUUGUUUCUUUUAUGUCCUUUGUUAAUGUGAAGAAACCAAGCCACAUAGUUUUUAAUAAUGAGAAUCUGGAUCAAGUUCAAUGUAUAGUUCAAAAAUGGAUUCCAAUUAAACAAUUGAAUAGAAUUUUGGCUCUCCCUCCAGCCCCAUCCCACUACCAUAUGUAUCUAGUAAUUCCAAGUUCAUCCCCCACCAAUAAAAAAUGGACUCCCUAAUUAAGUGUGACA